rnacentral:lncRNA from 1 species
CUCGGGAAGCUUGUGCCUCAUUUAUCCCUUGCUUCCAUGUCAAUAGGGCCUUUUAUAUCUUCGUAUUUUACACUCAAUUGAACAUAUUAGUACUACCUAAGCCUCUUGUCGGCCUAUUGGGUCACGACACUUAUAAAAUGUGUUAAAAAAAUACUUGUUUUAUUAAUAUUUAAUCCUAAAGCCCAAAUAUCGAAAAAAGCUCCUUAAGUGCAGAA